UCAAUGGCACGAAAGAAAGUCUUUUUUGCAUCAAAUUGUGACUGAUGAUGAGAAGUGUAUCUAUUUUGAGAAUCCCAAAUGCACAAAAUCAUGGGUUGAUUCAGGUCAACCAUCAACAUCAACUGGUAGGCCAAAUCGCUUCCAAAAGAGAUAAUGCUACGCAUUUGAUGGGAUCAGGAAGGUGUGGUGUAUUAUGAGCUUUUAAAACGAGGUGAAACUGUUAAUACUGAUCACUACUGACAACAAAUAAUUGAUUUGAACCACCCUUUGAUGGUGAAACGACCAGAAUGUGUCAAAAGACAAGCAAAGUAAUUUUGCUUCAUGAUGACACACCAUCACACACUUCAAAACCAGUUAAAGACACCUUAAAAGAUCUUGCCUGGGAAGUAUUAACCCACCCGCCUUAUUCAUGAGAUCUUGCUCCUUCAGAAUACCACUUGUUCUGAUGAGUGGCACAGACACUUUCUGAGCAGCACUUCAAAACAUACAAAGAAGUGAAAAAUUGGGUCUCCGAAUGGUUUGCCUCAAAACAAGAAAAAUUCUAGCCCUGACUGGUUUGGCUCUGUGGAUAGAGUGUCA